rnacentral:rRNA from 1 species
CCCUUAGAUGUUCUGGGCUGCACGCGCGCUACACUGAUGCGCUCAACGAGUUUAUGACCUUGCCCGGAAGGGUUGGGUAAUCUUCUUAAAACGCAUCGUGAUGGGGAUAGAUUAUUGCAAUUAUUAAUCUUCAACGAGGAAUUCCUAGUAAGCGCGAGUCAUCAGCUCGUGCUGAUUACGUCCCUGCCCUUUGUACACACCGCCCGUCGCUCCUACCGAUUGGGUGUGCUGGUGAAAUGUUCGGAUCGGCCGUUUGUCGCGGUUUCCGCGUCAUGUGGCUGAGAAGUUCAUUAAACCCUCCCACCUAGAGGAAGGAGAAGUCGUAACA